GCCCCUGUAGCGCAAUGGAUAGCGUGUUGGACUUCUAAUCCAAAGGUCGUGGGUUCGAAUCCCCCCGGGCA
rnacentral:tRNA from 1 species